GCUGUUGGCCGGGGUAAGGGCUUUCCAGUUGGAAAUCAUGGCCAGCCGUAGAAAAAUGCUUAUUGAAAUGGUCGAUUAGUGUAGAUUUAUUGGUGGUGACAGUGUUUCCUAGCCUCAGUGCAGUGGGCAGCUGGGAUGAGGUGCUCUUAUUCUCCAUGGACUUUACAGUGUCCCAAAACAUUUUUGAAUUAGUGUAACAGGAUGCAAAUAUUGGUUCCUGACUUCCCUGAAAAGUUGCAUAUCGCGGGGGCUAUUCGAUGCUAAUUCUGAACACCACAGGAUGUUUUCGUGCUGGUCAAGGGCAGUCAAGUCUGGUGUGAACCAAGGGCUAUAUCUGUUCUUAGUUCUACAUUUAUUUAAUGGGGCAUGCUUAUUUAAGAUGGCAGGAAAGCACUUUUAAAGAGCAACCAGGCAUCCUCUACUGAUGGGAUGAGGUCAAUAUCCUUCCAGGAUACCCAGGCCAGGUUGAUUAGAAAGGCCUACGUUUGACCGCGGACCCAUCACCCACGCAGGCAAUGAGGCAGUGAUUAUUGAGAUCCUGGUAAGAAGAACAAAUUCUUAUUUACAAUGACGGCCUACCCCAGACGACGCUGGGCCAAUUGUGCGAAGCCCUAUAAGACUCCCAAUUACGGCCAGAUGUGAUGCAGCCUGGAUUUGAACCAGUUGCACUGGGAUGCAGAACUUAUUGCACUGGGAUGCAGUGUCUCAGACUACUGCGUCACUCGGGAGCCCCAAUAGCACAUUUCAGACACGAUUGCAACACAAUGCACUUCACAUGAAAAAAACGCUGAAAAUAAAAACGGAAAUAUUUACUACAUACGAGGAUAAAAAAAGAAUAACAAUUUAAAACUAAAGGACUGAAAAAACACCCUAAGGUAAAUGCACCCCAGUCCAGUGUGUAUUGACAGGUGAUUAGAACGCUUGUUGUGGGCAUUUUUACACCUGUUCAAUGUUCAUUUUCAUGUUUGGCCCUGUCUGGGGGUGUCCUCGGAUGGGGCCACAGUGUCUCCUGACCCCUCCUGUCUCAGCCUCCAGUAUUUAUGCUGCAGUAGUUUAUGUGUCGGGGGGCAAGGGUCAGUUUGUUAUAUCUGGAGUACUUCUCCUGUCCUAUUCUGUGUCCUGUGUGAAUCUAAGUGUGCGUUCUCUAAUUCUCUCCUUCUCUCUUUCUCUCUCUCUCUCGGAGGACCUGAGCCCUAGGACCAUGCCCCAGGACUACCUGACAUGAUGACUCCUUGCUGUCCCCAGUACACCUGGCCGUGCUGCUGCUCCAGUUUCAACUGUUCUGCCUUAUUAUUAUUCGACCAUGCUGGUCAUUUAUGAACAUUUGAACAUCUUGGCCAUGUUCUGUUAUAAUCUCCACCCGGCACAGCCAGAAGAGGACUGGCCACACCACAUAGCCUGGUUCAUCUCUAGGUUUCUUCCUAGGUUUUGGCCUUUCUAGGGAGUUUUUCCUAGCCACCGUGCUUCUACACCUGCAUUGAUUGCUGUUUGGGGUUUUAGGCUGGGUUUCUGUACAGCACUUUGAGAUAUCAGCUGAUGUACGAAGGGCUAUAUAAAUAAAUUAAUUAAUUUGAUUUACAUUUUAUUAGAACGUGUGUUAUGGUCAUUUUUACACGCGAUCAUUACACAUAUUCAAUGUUAGUUUACAGGUGAUUAGAACGUGUGUUAUGGUCAUUUUUACACGCGAUCAUUACACAUAUUCAAUGUUAGUUUACAGGUGAUUAGAACGUGUGUUAUGGUCAUUUUUACACGCGAUCAUUACACCUGUUCAAUGUUCAUUUACAGGUGAUUAGAACGUGUGUUACGGUCAUUUUUACACGCGAUCAUUACACCUGUUCAAUGUUAAUUUACAGGUGAUUAGAACGUGUGUUAUGGUCAUUUUUACACGCGAUCAUUACACCUGUUCAAUGUUCAUUUACAGGUGAUUAGAACGCUUGGAUGUUGUACUUUCAGACCCAUGAAAUUGUGCCACUGCACACGUUCUGAACGCCUGUGUCGUAACGGGUACAUUUCAUGGGUCUGAAAGUACCACAUUGUAGCCCCUCCCACCUCAAUUUCCGUGAGUUUGACUUUGUUUGACUUCCGGCCUGUUGGGAGUUUCUAAAUAGGGAUAAAAUUGUUCAAAUUAGUCAAGGCGUUGGUGAGAAAUGGAAGAAGAAAUUAAAACAACUUUUCCCACAUAGCAUUACAACUACAAAGUUGACGCUGGCUAGCUAACUUAUUUUAAUUUAAAUAGUUAGUUAACAAGCUAGCAAUAGUCUUCUGUCUAGCCUGUAACUAAUGGUUGUUACGUUGUGGGACAUAGCAAUAGUUAUUUAUACUUGUCAUUUGGUUGAGACUAACAUUCGUUUAGAACAUAAUUGUUUACUUUGUGUAUAUUUGUUGUGUAAUUGUUUGGAUUUGAUAGUUGGCAAGCUGAGAUGUAUUUGCUCAAGUUGGCAAACUUAGCUAUUAGCUCAUGUUUUAGGAGAGCUGUGGGAUUCCGUAUUUUACAUUAUAGCCAUUACUAUAUAUAUGAUUAAAUAUUAUCUGAUGUUGGCUGUGUGAGGUAUCUGCAUUUGUGCACUUGAGCAUCAUCAUGAGAUUAAACAACUGCUUGCUACAUCUACUUGCCUGUUUGUGUGUGUGUGACAAGAACUGAGUAACAUGGUGUGACCUGCAUGUUGCAAAACUGUAGAUAACAGCCCAGAAAAUGCUUUGUCCUUGUGUUUGUAUGUAACAAUAUUGAGCACAUGGUGUGACUUGGUGUGACUUGCACAUGGUGUGACUUGACUCCAAGAAGCGCCAAGAGGCGGGGACCCGCCUGAGCGCCUGCGAUAGGCUGAGCAAAUCCAAACCACGCUCAGCCUCUACUGUGAUAGGCCAACAUACGGGUUGGAACAAUGUCUAUCACAGUAUAAGAACAACUGUUUACGUACAUCCUGUCAGUUCUCUGUUCUGCCCUGCGUGGUAUUACAGUGAGCCCUUAUAUACGAAAGAUGCAUUUGCCAUUUAUUGCUUAGUUAAUAAAAAAUCCAUAGUAUACAAUCGGUGAUUCUUUGUCAUAUUUAUCCUGAUACCAGAUUUGAAUUUACGCAACUCUAACAGAACAGACUUGCUCCUUGCAGAAUCUUGACAAAAGAGAACGUGGAAUAAGAUCUGGCUGUUGCAGUGCCCAGACAAGGUGAGAGCAAACUGCUACAGAUAUAAAAAGGAAUCUCAAUGCUAUGUUGAACGAGCACCACGGAUGAAGGAGCGGGAGGAAAGCGGACAGCUUCAUUCUACCAAACAUACAAUGUUUGCUUCAUGAACAAUAGUUACAUCUGAAAUAAAUACAGAAUUAUUUUAGUUUAUUCUGUUUUUAUGCUGGAUGUGAGUAAUUUAGCAGGUCUGUAUUAUAAUGUAUUGUUUUGAAACGUUCAUUAAAUAUCUAUUCAGUCAAAACUCACUUAUUUUACGUUUGCUAAAAUAAUGUAUGUUUUGUACUGUUACUUUUUACAUUCUGAAACAGUCUCGUUAGUUUUGAGCUAGACUAUGAUCGGGGAAAUGUCUUCUGUAAAUGUCUACUACCCUUUUAAAAUGUUGAUGAAUGAAAUUAGCACCUUUUCUUAUAGUUUGUUGCUACUGUCUGAUGAGGAAGUGGGCGAUGUGUAAUACAUUGGAGGAGGAAGGGAGAAUUAAUGAGAAAUCAGAACUUGGCAAUGUCAGGGAAUAAGUAGGAUAAAUGUACAUCCUAUUAAUGGCAAAAGAAAGUGCAGAGGUAGCUUUAAGAUAACAUUAGAUAUGUGCAUGUUAUGUACUGCACAGACGGCUAGCCAGCUAUUUUCAAAACAUUGGAUUACCAAUUUGAGCGAUGACGUCUCAGUUUGCACCACAUUUUGACAUGGAGGUAUGUCUCCUAGAGAUGAACGUACGUUGGUGCAAAAAGUGAAAAUCCAUCCCAGAACAACAGCAAAGGACCUUGUGAAGAUGCUGGAGGAAACAGGUACAAUAGUAUCUAUAUCCGCAGUAAAACGAGUCCUAUAUCGACAUAACCUGAAUGGCCGCUCAGCAAGGAAGAAGCCACUGCUCCAAAACCGCCAUAAAAAAGCCAGACUUCGGUUUGCAACUGCACAUGGGGACAAAGAUCAUACUUUUUGGAGAAAUGUCCUCUUGUCUGAUGAAACACAAAUAGAACUGUUUGGCCAUAAUGACCAUCGUUAUGUUUGGAGGCAAAAGGGGGAGGCUUGCAAGCUGAAGAACACCAUCCCAUCCGUGAAGCACGGGGGUGGCAGCAUCAUGUUGUGGGUGUCUUUUGCUGCAGGAGGGACUGGUGCACUUCACAAAAUAGAUGGCAUCAUGAGGAGGAAAAUUGUGGAUCUAUUGAAGCAACAUCUCAAGACAUCAGUCAGGAAGUUAAAGCAAAUGAGUCUUCCAAAUGGACAAUGACCCCAAGCAUAUUUCCAAAGUUGUGGCAAAUUGGCUUACGGACAACAAAGUCAAGGUAUUGGAGUGGCCAUCAAAGCCCUGACCUCAAUCCUAAAGAUAAUUUGUGGGCAGAACUGAAAAGGCGUGUGCGAGCAAGGAGGCCUACAAAGCUGACUCAGUUACACCAGCUCUGCCAGGAGGAAUGGGCCACAAUUUAUCCAACUUAUUGUGGGAAGCUUGUGGAAGGCUACCCAAAAUGUUUGACCCAAGAAAAACAAUAUUACCUCAAUUAGCCCGACUAACUGGUGCCCCCACACAUCGGCUACUCGGACAAUUUGCAUUGUGUCCCGCCAAACCCUCUUUUACACUGCUGCUGCUCUGUUUAUCAUCUAUGCAUAGUCACUUUAACUAUACCUACAUCUACAGUGGGGGAAAAAAGUAUUUAGUCAGCCACCAAUUGUGCAAGUUCUCCCACUUAAAAAGAUGAGGCCUGUAAUUUUCAUCAUAGGUACACUUCAACUAUGAAAAAAUCCAGAAUAUCACGUUGUAGGAUUUUUAAUGAAUUUAUUUGCAAAUUAUGGUGGAAAAUAAGUAUUUGGUCACCUACAAACAAGCAAGACCUGUAACUUAUUCUUUAAGAGGCUCCUCUGUCCUCCACUCAUUACCUGUAUUAAUGGCACCUGUCCACAAUCUCAAACAGUCACACUCCAAACUCCACUAUGGCCAAGACCAAAGAGCUGUCAAAGGACACCAGUAACAAAAUUGUAGACCUGCACCAGGCUGGGAAGACUGAAUCUGCAAUAGGUAAGCAGCUUGGUUUGAAGAAAUCAACUGUGGGAGCAAUUAUUAGGAAAUAGAAGACAUACAAGACCACUGAUAAUCUCCCUCGAUCUGGGGCACCACGCAAGAUCUCACCCCGUGGGGUCAAAAUGAUCACAAGAACGGUGAGCAAAAAUCCCAGAACCACACUGGGGGACCUAGUGAAUGACCUGCAGAGAGCUGGGACCAAAGUAACAAAGCCUACCAUCAGUAACACACUACGCCGCCGGGUACUCAAAUCCUGCAGUGCCAGACAUGUCCCCCUGCUUAAGCCAGUACAUGUCCAGGCCCGUCUGAAGUUUGCUAGAGAGCAUUUGGAUGAUCCAGAAGAAGAUUGGGAGAAUGUCAGAUGAAACCAAAAUAUAACUUUUUGGUAAAAACUCAACUCGUCAUGUUUGGAGGACAAAGAAUGCUGAGUUGCAUCCAAAGAACACCAUACCUACUGUGAAGCAUGGGGGUGGAAACAUCAUGCUUUGGGGCUGUUUUUCUGCAAAGGGACCAGGAUGACUGAUAAGUGUAAAGGAAAGAAUGAAUGGGGCCAUGUAUCGUGAGAUUUUGAGUGAAAACCUCCCAUCAGCAAGGGCAUUGAAGAUGAAAUGUCUUUCAGCAUGACAAUGAUCCCAAACACACCUCCCGGGCAAUGAAUGAGUGGCUUCGUAAGAAGCAUUUCAAGGUCCUGGAGUGGCCUAGCCAGUCUCCAGAUCUCAACCCCAUAGAAAAUCUUUGGAGGGAGUUGAAAGUCCGUGUUGCCCAGCAACAGCACCAAAACAUCACUGCUCUAGAGGAGAUCUGCAUGGAGGAAUGGGCCAAAAUACCAGCAACAGUGUGUGAAAACCUUGUGAAGACUUACAGAAAACAUUUGACCUCUGUCAUUGCCAACAAAGGGUAUAUAACAAAGUAUUGAGAAACUUUUGUUAUUGACCAAAUACUUUAUUUUUCCACCAUAAUUUGCAAAUAAAUUCAUUAAAAAUCCUACAAUGUGAUUUUCUGGAUUUUUUUCUUCUCAUUUUGUCUGUUAUAGUUGAAGUGUACCUAUGAUGAAAAUUACAGGCCUCAUCUUUUUAAGUGGGAGAACUUGCACAAUUGGUGGCUGACUAAAUACUUUUUUGCCCCACUGUACAUACAGUGGCUUGAGGAAGUAUUCACCCCCUUGACAUUUUUUCUUAUUUUGCUGCCUUAUAACCUGGAAUUAAAAUUGAUUUUUUUUUGGGGGGGGGGUUGUAUCAUUUGAUUUACACAACAUGAGUGGCACAACAUUUGAUUUACACAACAUGACUUUGAAGAUGCAAAAUGUUUUUUGUGUGAAACAAACAAGACAUUACAAAGUCAAUACUUUGUAGAGCCACCUUUUGCAGCAAUUACAGCUGCAAGUCUCUUGGGGUAUGUCUCUAUAAUGUUGGCACAUCUAGCCACUGGGAUAUUUGCCCAUUCUUCAAGGCAAAACUGCUCAAGCUCCUUCAAGUUGGAUGGGUUCCACUGGUGUACAGCAAUCUUUAAGUCAUACCACAUAUUCUCAAUUGGAUUGAGGUCUAGGCUUUGACUAGGCUAUUCCAAGACAUUUAAAUGCUUCCUCUUAAACGACUCAAGUGUUGCUUCAGCAGUUUGCUUAGGGUCAUUGUCCUGCUGGAAGGUGAACCUCCAUACCAGUCUCAAAUCUCUUGAAGACUGAAAAAAGGUUUCCCUCAAGAGUUUCCCUGUAUUUAGCGCGAUCAAACAUUCCAUCAAUUCUGACCAGUAUCCCAGUCCCUGCCGAGGAAAAACAAACCCACAGCAUGAUGUUGCCAUCACCAUGCUUCACUGUGGGGAUGUUGUUCUUGGGGUGAUGAGAGGUGUUGGGUUUGCACCAGACAUAGCUUUUCUUUGAUGGCCAAAAAGCUCAAUUUUAGUCUCAUCGAACCAGAGUACCGUCUUCGAUAUGUUUGGGGAGUCUCCCACAUUAAUUUAAUUUUACAUUUUUUGAAACAAGUUGUUUUUUUUCCAUUUCACUUCACCAAUUUGGACUAUUUUGUGUAUGUCCAUUACAUGAAAUCCAAAUAAAAAUCAAUUUUAAAUUACAGGUUGUAAUGCAACAAAAUAGGAAAAAUGCCAAGGGGGCUGAAUACCUUUGCAAGGCACGGUAUUACCUCAAUUAGCCAGACUAACCUGUGCCCCCGCACAUUGACUCUGUACAGGCACCACCUAUAUCACCUCGCUACUGUUAUUUUCACUGUCAUUUUACUGUUUUUAUUUAUUUACUUAUCUAUUGUUUACCUAUUUUCUUAAAUUGCACUGUUGGUUAGGGCUUGUAAGUAAGCAUUUCACUGUAAGGUGAAACACCUGUUGAAAUAGGCACACGUGAUAAAUAAACUUUGAUUUGAUUUGCAAGAG